CCCUUAGAUGUCCUGGGCCGCACGCGCGCUACACUGAGUGUCUGAGAUACGAGUCUGCCUGGUCCGGCAAGGUCUAGGUAAUCGCUAAAAGACACAUCAUGCUUGGGAUAGAUUAUUGCAAAUAUUAAUCUUGAACGAGGAAUUCCUAGUAAGCGCAAGUCAACAGCUUGCGUUGAUUACGUCCCUGCCCUUUGUACACACCGCCCGUCGCUACUACUGAUUGGAUGUUUAAGCGAGGUUCUCGAACUGCUAGCGACUUAGCUUCGGUGAGGUCGCCGUGUGGGAAGUGAACCUAGCUUUGGUGUCUAGAGGAAGUAAAAGUCGUAUCA
rnacentral:rRNA from 1 species